rnacentral:lncRNA from 1 species
UUGGUGCGUGGCAUUCCCUGUUUGAUAUUUUUCUUUGUUUUCAUGAUGGGAAGCUAUCCAGCUGACUUACGAAAGUCUGUGGUUCUACCCAGGUGACCAUCUGUGUUGAUGUAAUUCUCGGAGGGGAACCUGAAGUCUCCUCCACCAUGAACAUCUGGAAAAGUCGCUGUAUGACAAAGUUAUGUUGGUGUGACUCUUGAUCUAAUAAAAGGGUAUCAAUCGAAGAGCAGCCUAUCCCAAAAUGAAGUAAUAUAUUAAUAGCUGCAGAAAAUAAUUCGUUUUACAGGAUCAAAGAAAAUACGAAGCCGUAAGUCAAAACAUCCAGAUAUUCCAGAAUUUUCACUAAAGGUCAGUGUAGGCUUGAUUGUAGGGAUUCCGACCGUCAUGUUUCUGGUCUAUAUUUCGAUUAUUAGACCAUGGUUACGGGCAAGAAAGGGCCGGCAACGCGAGCGGUUAAAUGUUUUCUUAAAUGAUCUUUACCAAAAUGAAAUUUUCAUGAAACCUACAUGGAGUGACCCAGAAUAUGCAAACAUAAGUAGUGCUGUACGGGAAAUUGUUGAAGAAAUUGUUUUCGGUACCUUUUCUUGCAGUGAUAGUGGAUUACAAAUAAAAAGGGAUAAUGUCAGAUCCCAUGUUGAAUUAGUUGGCAGCUGCCAGGAAAAAUCGAAAAUAAAAAGACCGGACGAAUUUGACUUUUCAGUGAAAUUCCCACAUUUCUGUAAAGAAAAUGUCGUGGUUGAGAGAGGAGUGAUUCAGCCUGAAACGUUUAUGUGCAUACAUAAAAACCUAUCAUAUGAGUACGACAAUGCAUUUGUUCAGCUCA